AAACUCACCCAAACCAUCACUCUCCGAGGAAACUAAGGACACCAUCGAACUCGUGAAGCUCGUACGAGUGCAACCAUACCAUUUUCAGCUUGUAGAUGUCUUAGUAAGGUCCCAAGGAGCCUCGGAGUGCUUCGUUGCACAAAUUUGGACGUCGGGAAAGCUUGGUUCAAAGUUUGGCCGGAGCUUUCAAGGCUUUUUCCAGCGAAUCCACGACGAGUUAGGGGUCGAGGCAGAAAUUCCGGCAAAACACCCACCUCCGGCGAAACCAGUCCGGCGACGCGAGGAAGAAGACGCGCGCGUGGGCAGCGCGUGAACAGGGCGCGUGGGGGCGCGUGAGAGCUCCAAAUUGAGUUCUAAAAAUUGUCACGUGUUCGUGACAUCGUGUAGAUCACCGUGGUAUAUUCACACACCCAAAUUGAGCAACGUAUGAGAAAGUUAUUGACGAA